GAUGAACGCUGGCGGCGUGCCUAAUACAUGCAAGUCGAGCGAACGGACGAGAAGCUUGCUUUUCUGAUGUUAGCGGCGGACGGGUGAGUAACACGUGGAUAACCUACCUAUAAGACUGGGAUAACUUCGGGAAACCGGAGCUAAUACCGGAUAAUAUUUUGAACCGCAUGUUUCAAAAGUGAAAUACGGUCUUGCUGUCACUUAUAGAUGGAUCCGCGCUGCAUUAUCUAGUUGGUAAGGUAACGGCUUACCAAGGCAACGAUGCAUAGCCGACCUGAGAGGGUGAUCGGCCACACUGGAACUGAGACACGGUCCAGACUCCUACGGGAGGCAGCAGUAGGGAAUCUUCCGCAGUGGGCGAAAGCCUGACGGAGCAACGCCGCGUGAGUGAUGAAGGUCUUCGGAUCGUAAAACUCUGUUAUUAGGGAAGAACAUAUGUGUAAGUAACUGUGCAAAUCUUGACGGUACCGAAUCAGAAAGCCACGGCUAACUACGU
rnacentral:rRNA from 1 species